CUCUCGCUUCAAGUAGGCGCCACCCCGGGAUGGGGGCGCGCCCUGCCUGGUCCGGCACUUCUUCCGCGGCCCAGGCUGGGGGGCUUUGGGGCCGUGGGGGCCGACCCUGGUACCUGCGUCCGACCGGGACGCUCUGCACCUGCAGCCAGGAGUCAUCCACAGGACCCCGUGGGUGUGCUGACGAUGGUCGUCUUGAUGUCACCGAUGAUGCUGGGCGCCUCCCUCAGCACGUGGUGCAUGCGCCGCAUCUCGUUGCGCCCCUGUGCCUGCUCUGCCGACUCCCCCAUCAGCGUGUUCUGUUCCCCACGCGAGUACAAGUUGGCCAGCAGCUCCGAGAAGAUGAACUCCUUGGUCUGAGAGCGGGCAAAGAGGGAAGGAGACUGGGACCUGAUUGAUGCUUGUGCUGCCCUGGCCGCCAUAGCUGCCCCGCCGGGCCCUGUUGGGACUGUGCGCUGGACUUGGAGCCGCGAGUAUGGCUUUUCAGACGCGGCUUCUACACCGCUUAGACUCGAAGAUCCGCCUCCCCACCGCCCUUUUCUCACUCAGAUGAGGACACUGAGGUCCAGAGGAAAAGUCACCUGUCCAAGGUCACAGUUCUGGGAGGGGACUGAGGACCUAUCAUGCCACCAGGACACCUGUCUACUCAGUUUUUAAUUUUUGGAGAUAGGAUCUCGCUUUGUCGCCAGGCUGGAGUACAGUGGGCGAGAUCACUGCUCACUGAAGCCUCAACCUCCUGGGCUCAAAGUGAUCCUCCAACGUCAGCCUGUGGAGCAGCUAGGACUACAUGUACUUGCCACCACCAAGCCCAGCUAUUUUUUAAAAUUUUUGUGUUGAGAUGAGGUCUCAUUAUGUUGCCCAGGCUGGUCUUGAACUCCUGGGCUCAAGCCGUCCUCCUACCUUGGCCUCCCAAAGUGCUGGGAUUACAAGCAUGAACCACUAUAAUCCCACAUUAUAUUUCUAUUGGACAACUCUGGUCUGGACUGUGCCUCCCUUCCUGAGGCUGGUCCCAUAAGGCUGGUCUGCAUCUCCCCUAGGCCAACAUGGCCACCUGGGUCCCCUCUACCCCCAUGAGGCGACGCAUGCACGUUGUUGAUCAUGAGGUGGAUGAUGGUCUUGGGCAUGAGGUCCUGCAUGUUCUUGUUGACAAUGGCCAUGUACGAGUCCACCAGGUUCUGAAUGGUCUCCACUUGCCACUCCAGCUGUGGUCCAUGGAGAGCAUGAAGCUGUCGGAGCCAUUCCCCUCAGUCUUGCUGGCCUGUCAUGAAGAACACAAGGGCAUCAGGGUGGCCAGGCCAUGUAGCCAGGCUCCAGGCAUCCCCUGCAAGGGUACCUGGCACAUUGAUGCACAGAGAGAAGCAACUGGCCUAAACAGACACCCAGCUCUCCACAUGCUCUAAAAGGUUUCAGGUCUCUGCCCAUCCCUGUAUCUCUUAGGACCCCAGACUCCCCUGAUUCAGCCUCAUCUUGGUUCUGACUCUACUGCCCAGAAUUUGCCUCAAUUUUCCAAACCAGAAAUGAGAAAAAAACAUCUGCAGAUCCUUUGCUUAAAGACCUGGCCAGAGCUGGUGCCAGGCUGCAGACGCCUGGCAGGAAGCAAGAGAGGGUCACACUCACUUUCUUCUUGUCCUGGGAGGCCCACACACCAACACUGCCACCACUGCUGGCACCAGGGAGCACAGCCAAAGUAGACACACACAGAGAGGAAAAGGGGAGAGGUUGAGUGAACCUGGGACACUGCACCCCAACUCUAAGUCUCCUCUAGACAUUGCCACAGUGAAAUAGGGGAGAAAAGAGAAGGCAGUCACAGGAAACCACCAUCAUAGAAAGGGCAUGCAAGAAAUGCCAUCUGUGGCAGAGACGGAGACACAAAACUGCCACUGGAGAAGGAUGGGAGGACCAGAAGACUUAACUCUGAUCUCACCCCAGAUACCUUUCGCCUCCCACCAUGAUUCUGAGGCCUCCCCAGCCAUGUGGAACUGCAUAUUGAGAAAAGAAAACCAAGGGAGGCUUUGCAGACACUGCCACCAUCGGGAGCCCUGUACUAUCAGCCAUGGUUAACCCCACUGUGUUUUUUGACAUCGCCGUCGAUGGCGAGCCCUUGGGCCACGUCUCCUUCGAGCUGCUUGCAGACAAGUUUCCAAAGACAGCAGAAAACUUUCAUGCUCUGAGCACUGGAGAGAAAGGAUUUGGUAAUAAGGGUUCUUGCUUUCACAGAAUUAUCAGAGUUUAUGUGUCAGGGUGGUGACUUCACAUGCCAUAAUGGCACUGGUGGCAAGUCCAUCUAUGGGGAGAAAUUUGAUGAUGAGAACUUCAUCCUAAAGCAUACAGGUCCUGGCAUCUUGUCCAUGGCAAAUGCUGGAUCCAAUAUAAAUGGUUCCCAGUUUUUCAUCUGCACUGCCAAGACUGAGUGGUGGAUGGCAAGCAUGUGGUCUUUGGCAAGGUGAAAGAAGGCAUGAAUAUUGUGGAGGCCACGGAGCGCUUUGAGUCCAGGAAUGGCAAGACCAGGAAGAAGAUCACCAUUGCUGACUGUGGACAACUCUAAUAAGGUUGACUUGUGUUUUAUCUUAACCACCAGACCGUUCCUUCUGUAGCUCAGGACAGCACCCUCCACCCCACUUACUCGCAGUAUCCUAGAAUCUUUGUGCUCUCGCUGCAGUUCCCUUCCAUGCCUAGCUGGACUGCAGAGUUGAGUUUAUGAUUAUGAAAUAAAAACUAAAUAACCAAAAAAAAAAAAAAAGAAAAACAAGGGAAAAAAUGAAUUGGACUUAUGAGGUAUAAUGGCUAUUAUCCUAGAGUGGUGGUAGAAGAAAGGAGAGGAUGGAGAGAGAUUAAAUAAAUUAGUUGUUUACUGAAACUUUUUUUUUUGAGAUGGAGUCUCACUCUGUCACCCAGGUUGGAGUGCAGUGGUGUGAUCUUGGCUCACUGCAAACUCCGCCUCCUGGGUUCAAGCCAUUCUCCUGCCUCAGUCUCCUGAGUAGCUGGGACUAUAGGCACCUGCCACCAUGCCAAACUACUUUUAUGUAUUUGUAUUUUUUUUUUUUUUUUUUGAGACAGAGUCUCGCUCUGUUACCCAGGCUGGAGUACAGUGGCGCGAUCUCAGCUCACUGCAAGCUCCGCCUCCCGGGUUCACACCAUUCUCCUGCCUCAGCCUCCCAAGUAGCUGGGACUACAGGCGCCCUCCACCACGCCUGGCUAAUUUUUUUUGUAUUUUUAGUAGAGACGGGGUUUCACCAUGUUAGCCAGGAUGGUCUCGAUCUCCUGACCUCGUGAUCUGCCCGCCUCGGCCUCCCAAAGUGCUGGGAUUACAGGUGUGAGCCACCGCACCCAGCCACUUUUUUGUAUUUUUAGUAGAGACAGGGUUUCACCAUGUUGGCCAGGCUGGUCUUGAACUCCUGACCUCAGGUGAUCCGCCCACCUCCGCCUCCCAAAGUGCUGGGAUUACAGGCAUGAGCCACUGCGCCCAGCCUGAAACUUGUCAAGCACAGGCAGAGUUCCUGGGGCCCAGAGGGAUACACGAAAUAUAAGGCACAGACCUUACUCUCUAUUGGCAUUAAGUCUGAUCGUGGAUGAAAUUAAAACACUUGAAACCAUUUAUAUAUAAUGACGCAAGCCCCUCCAAAACUGUCAGGUCAUAGAAUGGAUGUAUCAGUUUGCUUUACCAUUCACCUAUUGGGGAGUAUUUGGUUGUUUCCAGUUUGGGGCUAUUACAAAUAAAUCUGCCAUGAACAAUCAUGUAUGAGUUUUUGUGCAGACAUCAGUUUUAUUUUCUGGUACAAAUGCCCAGAAGCAAUUGCUAGGUCAUAUAUUGAGGUGUAUGUUUAAUUAAAGAAGCUGCCAAACUA
rnacentral:lncRNA from 1 species